UGGGGAAUAUUGGGCAAUGGAGGCAACUCUGACCCAGCAACGCCGCGUGAACGAUGAAGGUCUUCGGAUUGUAAAGUUCUUUAAGUGGGGACGAAGAAAGUGACUGUACCCACAGAAUAAGCCUCGGCUAACUACGUGCCAGCAGCCGCGGUAAUACGUAGGAGGCAAGCGUUAUCCGGAAUGACUGGGCGUAAAGGGUGCGUAGGUGGUUUGGCAAGUUGGUAGCGUAAUCCCGGGGCUCAACCUCGGUGCUACUACCAAAACUGCUGGGCUUGAGUGCAGGAGGGGUGAAUGGAAUUCCUA
rnacentral:rRNA from 1 species